GACGAACGCUGGCGGCGUGCUUAACACAUGCAAGUCGAACGGAAAGGCCCUGCUUUUGUGGGGUGCUCGAGUGGCGAACGGGUGAGUAACACGUGAGUAACCUGCCCUUGACUUUGGGAUAACUUCAGGAAACUGGGGCUAAUACCGGAUAGGAGCUCCUGCUGCAUGGUGGGGGUUGGAAAGUUUCGGCGGUUGGGGAUGGACUCGCGGCUUAUCAGCUUGUUGGUGGGGUAGUGGCUUACCAAGGCUUUGACGGGUAGCCGGCCUGAGAGGGUGACCGGCCACAGUGGGACUGAGAUACGGCCCAGACUCAUACGGGAGGCAGCAGUGGGGAAUAUUGCACAAUGGGCGGAAGCCUGAUGCAGCAACGCCGCGUGCGGGAUGACGGCCUUCGGGUUGUAAACCGCUUUCGCCUGUGACGAAGCGUGAGUGACGGUAAUGGGUAAAGAAGCACCGGCUAACUACGUG
rnacentral:rRNA from 1 species